rnacentral:rRNA from 1 species
CAUGCAGUCGAGCGGUAGAGAGAAGCUUGCUUCUCUUGAGAGCGGCGGACGGGUGAGUAAUGCCUAGGAAUCUGCCUGGUAGUGGGGGAUAACGUUCGGAAACGGACGCUAAUACCGCAUACGUCCUACGGGAGAAAGCAGGGGACCUUCGGGCCUUGCGCUAUCAGAUGAGCCUAGGUCGGAUUAGCUAGUUGGUGGGGUAAUGGCUCACCAAGGCGACGAUCCGUAACUGGUCUGAGAGGAUGAUCAGUCACACUGGAACUGAGACACGGUCCAGACUCCUACGGGAGGCAGCAGUGGGGAAUAUUGGACAAUGGGCGAAAGCCUGAUCCAGCCAUGCCGCGUGUGUGAAGAAGGUCUUCGGAUUGUAAAGCACUUUAAGUUGGGAGGAAGGGUUGUAAAUUAAUACUUUGCUGUUUUGACGUUACCGACAGAAUAAGCACCGGCUAACUCUGUGCCAGCAGCCGCGGUAAUACAGAGGGUGCAAGCGUUAAUCGGAAUUACUGGGCGUAAAGCGCGCGUAGGUGGUUAGUUAAGUUGGAUGUGAAAUCCCCGGGCUCAACCUGGGAACUGCAUUCAAAACUGACUGACUAGAGUAUGGUAGAGGGUGGUGGAAUUUCCUGUGUAGCGGUGAAAUGCGUAGAUAUAGGAAGGAACACCAGUGGCGAAGGCGACCACCUGGACUGAUACUGACACUGAGGUGCGAAAGCGUGGGGAGCAAACAGGAUUAGAUACCCUGGUAGUCCACGCCGUAAAACGAUGUCAACUAGCCGUUGGGAGCCUUGAGCUCUUAGUGGCGC